rnacentral:rRNA from 1 species
CACGUAGGGUGCGAGCGUUGUCCGGAUUUAUUGGGCGUAAAGAGCGUGUAGGCGGCCUGGUAGGUCAGCUGUGAAAACUCGAGGCUCAACCUCGAGACGUCGGUUGAAACCACCUGGCUAGAGUCCGGAAGAGGAGAGUGGAAUUCCCGGUGUAGCGGUGAAAUGCGCAGAUAUCGGGAAGAACACCCGUGGCGAAGGCGGCUCUCUGGGACGGUACUGACGCUGAGACGCGAAAGCGUGGGGAGCGAACAGG